rnacentral:rRNA from 1 species
GCGCACCAGGCGCGAAACUUCGGCAAUGGGGGAAACCCUGACCGAGCGACGCCGCGUGUGGGAUGAAGGCCCUUGGGUUGUAAACCACUGUCAGAGGGGAUGAAAUGCCGGAAAGUUAUCUCUCCGGUUUGACAUAGCCUCAGAGGAAGCACGGGCUAAGUUCGUGCCAGCAGCCGCGGUAAGACGAACUGUGCAAACGUUAUUCGGAAUCACUGGGCUUGAAGAGUGCGUAGGCGGUUUCGUAAGUAGGGUGUGAAAGCCCCCGGCUCAACCGGGGAAUUGCGUCCUAAACUGCGAGGCUGGAGUGAGGUAGGGGUGUGUGGAACUUCCAGUGGAGCGGUGAAAUGUGUUGAUAUUGGAAGGAACGCCGGUGGCGAAAGCGACACACUGGACCUUGUCUGACGCUGAGGCACGAAAGCCAGGGGAGCAAACGGGAUUAGAUACCCCUGUAGU